rnacentral:tRNA from 1 species
GCGUCUGUAGCUCAGUUGGAUAGAGCGCGAGCCUCCUAAGCCCGAGGCCCCCGGUUCGAGUCCGGGCAGGCGCACCA